rnacentral:rRNA from 1 species
GAUGAACGCUGGCGGCGUGCCUAAUACAUGCAAGUCGAACGAACGGACGAGAAGCUUGCUUCUCUGAUGUUAGCGGCGGACGGGUGAGUAACACGUGGAUAACCUACCUAUAAGACUGGGAUAACUUCGGGAAACCGGAGCUAAUACCGGAUAAUAUUUUGAACCGCAUGGUUCAAAAGUGAAAGACGGUCUUGCUGUCACUUAUAGAUGGAUCCGCGCUGCAUUAGCUAGUUGGUAAGGUAACGGCUUACCAAGGCAACGAUGCAUAGCCGACCUGAGAGGGUGAUCGGCCACACUGGAACUGAGACACGGUCCAGACUCCUACGGGAGGCAGCAGUAGGGAAUCUUCCGCAAAGGGCGAAAGCCUGACGGAGCAACGCCGCGUGAGUGAUGAAGGUCUUCGGAUCGUAAAACUCUGUUAUUAGGGAAGAACAUAUGUGUAAGUAACUGUGCACAUCUUGACGGUACCUAAUCAGAAAGCCACGGCUAACUACGUG